GUUAGGCUACUCUCAGUUAUUAUAUGAUCUUGAUAUUUGAACACAUAGCUGAAUUAUGUUGGUACAAUGACAUUGGAGAAUGCUGCUGUGAAGUUGAGUAGCCUCUCGCUUGGAGAACUUUAAGACCUCUGGGACUUAAGUGAGCAUGCAGAGUGCUGUGGUCAGUGUCAAAAUGUGACAUGAUUUUCACUGAUUAACUUGUCCUUCAUGGCCCAGGUAUGGGUAGGCCUGUCAUGGGAGGCGGAAAAAUGGCCAGCAGGAAGGUGUGCAGCAGCCACCGGAAUGACCUCUUCCACCUCCUCCACUAACAGCUCCUCAUCAGCCGGCAGUGGGAUGUGAUCCUGAAGGGCCAUGUUGCAGAAGCGACGUCACCAAAACUACACUGCACGCCUUUGCAGGAUGGAGCUUCAGGCCACCAGCGGAUUUGCUCACACACCUUUCCACAUGCCCAGGGCCCUCUCCACAACAACGCGGGUCCGGCUAUGGGCGUUGUUGUACCGCGCCUCUGCCUCGCUAUUGGGCUCCUAGAUGGAGCAGUUGACAUGCUUGUAUUAUCAUAGGGGGUUGAUGGAAUAAAGUAGGUCUUGAAAUGUCA